GACCGGGAGCGGCGCGGGCUGCUGCGGCCGGGCCUGCGGGGCCCGGGCGGGGACGCGCGGGUCCCCGCUGUGGUCGGUCA
rnacentral:tRNA from 1 species